rnacentral:rRNA from 1 species
UACGGAGGGAGCUAGCGUUGUUCGGAAUUACUGGGCGUAAAGCGCACGUAGGCGGCUUUGUAAGUUAGAGGUGAAAGCCCGGAGCUCAACUCCGGAACUGCCUUUAAGACUGCAUCGCUUGAAUCCAGGAGAGGUGAGUGGAAUUCCGAGUGUAGAGGUGAAAUUCGUAGAUAUUCGGAAGAACACCAGUGGCGAAGGCGGCUCACUGGACGAUGACUGACGCUGAGACGCGAAAGCGUGGGGAGCAAACAGG